GACGCUGGCGGCGUGCCUAACACAUGCAAGUCGAGCGGGAUGAUGUAAGGAAGUUUCGGAUGGAAUCACAUUAUUUAGCGGCGGACGGGUGAGUAACGCGUGAGCGACCAACCUUGCACAGGGGAUAACGGACCGAAAGGUUCACUAAUACCGCAUGAGACCACGGUGUUGCAUGACACAGGGGUCAAAGGAGCAAUCCGGUGCAAGACGGGCUCGCGUCCGAUUAGGUAGUUGGUGGGGUAAUGGCCCACCAAGCCUAUGAUCGGUAGCCGACCUGAGAGGGUGAUCGGCCACAUUGGAACUGAGAUACGGUCCGAACUCCUACGGGAGGCAGCAGUGGGGAAUAUUGGGCAAUGGGGGGAAACCCUGACCCAGCAACGCCGCGUGAAGGAAGAAGGUUUUCGGAUUGUAAACUUCUGUCCUUGGUGAAGAGAAGAAGACGGUAGCCAAGGAGGAAGCCCCGGCUAACUACGUGCCAGCAGCUGC
rnacentral:rRNA from 1 species